rnacentral:rRNA from 1 species
UGAUGAUCAAGAUACUUCCAAUCAAGUUGCUACUGAACUUCGUAGGUCCACAAGAACACGUUUCACGCUAGAAUGAUAUGGCAACCCUAUCCUAAAAAUCAUGGAACAUAUAAAGAAUGAGCCAAUGCACCUAUCUAGCGGCCGUGGCCACGUCUCCUUUUUUGCGUCUAUUAACAGUGGGAGAAAGGGAUAAGCCCCGAGCGAUCCGUUUGGCUCCACUCCUCUCUCUUUCCCUUUUCCUCUGCCUCGUGCUCUCCUUUCCUCGCCGCCGCCACCCCAACCUAGGCGGCUCCUCUCCUCGUCGAACCAGCAGCCUCCUCUCCAUCUUCACGCGCAGCCUCCUUCCCACCGGGCUUCGCCUCUUCGGGCGGCGGGACGCAGUGGCUCUAUUGAUGGCAGAUGGGGCGACAACGGCGACGCUCCUCGUCGCCCAUGGCGGUCGGCGGCGCUCUGGCCGUGGAGGCCUGCUCCUCAUGCUCCUCCUCUACCCGCUCCACCUCUCCGCGGCCGCGCCCGAGUCCGAGUGCGCCAAGUUCGCCGGCCCGCGCGCGCACCUGCGCUGGCUCCGCUUCAUCCGGCCCGUGCCGCGCUGCGUUCGCCGCGUCGCCUCCUCCUGCGCUACGCCGGCUCCGCCGCCCCCGACCACGCCCCUGCGCAUGCCGCUGCAGCACCCCCGCGCGAUCGUCGGCUCGCUCCGGCCGGCUCCGCCUCUGCCCGGGGCCGGGUGCUCCUCUCCUCGCGCGCCCUCGCGGUCGCAAGAGGCGGAUAUGUACGGAGGAUCCACGAGCUUGGUGCCAUCCAUCCCGUCCGGCGACGCUCACCCCCUCUUCUCCAACGUGUCUGUGAUCUAUUCACUUGCGUCUUCACUGCCUCAAGUGCGCAGAAAUAUUAUUGUGCAGAGGUGGCUGCAGCUAUGCACAUCUGUUUUUGAGGCUGCAGAUGCGACCACCAGUUGUUUGUAUAAAUGCUCAAGGAGGACUGCUCUGGAGAGGACAACACGUGUGUUUGAAAGAGAGGGAUGGAAAAGAGGGGGCUGGAGUAAGAGAAGAGGAAGGAGUGGAGCCACAUGUUAUUUCUUUGUCAUCGACGUCAUCCCACCAUUAUAGAGACUUUCUUGGAUGACAUGCCUCCCAUACUCUCGCCCCUUGUGCUCCAUCUGUGUUGGUACCCUUUCAUGGUUUCUUGUCUCCUCUUCUUUCAUGAUUCAUUCAUUUCAAAUACUAAUUCAGGUUGUUAUACUAAUUUGAUUGAUGUGGAUGGUGUAAUAAUUCAGGUCGUGCAUGAUGGUGUGCUGAUUUCCUUGAUGCCUCAUCAGGUUUCACUUUUUUGAUACAUUGAUUGGUUACCAAUUUGAUGCAAAUAGCCAAAAUGAAUGGAUAUUACUUGUGGUCAGACUAAAUUUUCCAUGUUCUUUGUGUGUGAUUAUGCUCAAGUUUUGGAAGAAUUGGGCUAAGGGGUGAUUGUGCUCAGGUUUUGAUGCAGGUUCUUUUGAAUUCUGAAACUUUGGUUUGGUAUGACAGACAAUGCUAUUAAUAUUUGAACAGACAAUAUAGUUACUAGAGUCACUUCAUACUAACACGCAAACUCAUUUUGUAUUGCAGUGAGAUUCAGACAAUUUUAGGAAACACAUGGAAAGGAGUCCAAAUGGGCUCGGCGUACAUGGUUUUCAGUUAACAUGUCCUAUUUUUGCAGUGAGUGAUCGACGAGGGAAGCACAAGGAAAAGAGCAAGCCAUGAAAGAUGCAGUGAUUGAUGGAUUGGGCAACUUGUUCCUGCUAGUUUCUCUAUUGGCAAAGAACAAAAUCCUAUUAAUUAUUUUUUGUGUAUGCAUAAUGUAUAGUUAAUCAAUUGGCUGUGUAUGGUGACAUUAGUAAUGACCUUGACAGUUACAAGUGAAAGGUCAUUCUCAGACCGAAAAAGCAGCUGCGUUGCGCGAAUCCCAGAUCUUGUAAUGACCUCGAACUGUAUUUACACCGGCUUAGAGACCCCUCAGCUGGUGAAUCGGUUGUCCAUGGUGCGUCAGCCAUGAAAGAUGCAGAAGAAAAAUCAUGUUGAUAAAAGCACACACACUCACCAGGUUCAUCAGGUUGCUGUGAGUGUGGCCAUCAUGGCUAUCCCAGGAGCAGGUCCAUUGGUUGCUUCAUUUUCAGCUAUAUGAUAGCUCGGGCAUGCUCACCAGUUGUUCCGUUAAAAUGACAAAACCGACUGAAUUUUAUCUCUUAUAUGUGUUACUAAAUACUAGAGGUGAUUAUUUUCUUUCGGGGGAUUACAGUUUUAUAAGCUUUAUGCCUUUUGAGACUUUGAGGUCCAAACUAAUUAGUCUUUGAGAUCUCAAUGCUUCUAUAUAGAUAUAAUUAGUAUUUCUCACAAUGAGCAUCUCCGAAGCUGCAGCCUAUGCUAAAAGUAGUGCUUAUAGCCGUAGUAGGCGAUACAUCAUUAGAACUAAUGUGUGACACUUAUUUUGCAACAACAACAUCCAAGUUUUUCAACAUUUUACAAUCUUACUAAUGUGUGCCGCCAAGUUUCUCUAUUUUAGAUGGUUCUGUCUUUUUACUUCUGAAAAUGGGUGUGUGUUCUAUUUAGCUAACUAUAAUUCAUUGUUGUAGUCGAAGAUGUUCCCAGGCUACCAUCUGGUUUAGAACUCUACAAUUCACAUCAAUACUGAAUUUGUUUUGCAACUGAAUUUGCAUAUUAUUUCCAAUAUUGCAUCUCAUUGCACUUUGAAGAUACACCGGACUAUCAGUGGCGAUUUAAUUCCACUUAUUUCUUAGCUACAAUAUUCCAUAGAAAAAACAUGAACUUUAAUAUCUGAGUGAUUAGUGUGCUUUGUAUAUCUGAUGUAUCGGGGAACUCUAAUAUCUGAGUUAUAUAUAUGGUUGUCUGGCAAGAUUGGUUUUCACCUAUCUAGCUCCUCAGCUCAAGGUUUUUAAGAUGAUACAUUUCUUGAUACAUCAACUACCCAUAAACGUACCUCAUGUUUUCUUAAAGGACAACUGAUAUCUCAAUCAGCUCACCCUUUUCUGCCAAAAACCUAUCAUCAUGUUCCUUACAAUAAGUUAUGCUUCUGUUUGUACAUUUGCAGCUUAUGGUGCUGCAUCUUUGGUUCUUUUUAUUCAAUUCAGAGCAGGUGACAAUGCCUUAUAUUGAUUGUUCUGGAUAGGUAUUUAGUCGUAAGAGAUAUCACCUAUGUGUCUCCAGAAAAGCAAAAACAACAAUUCACUGUUGAUUUACUUUGCUAUGAUUGCUCCCAUUAGAUUGUCCUUAAAUCAUGUGCAAAACUGAAGUAUUGUGUUGGCUGACUGUCAGCCUGACAAAUGAGAUGGGAUGAUGAUGCAGAGUGCUAAAAGGCCUAAUGGGUUAUCUCCUUGGUAGAUUAAGUUUGUUGGAUUGAUUUCAGGCCGUUGAAAAUAGAUGACACUAUGCCUCCCCCAAUUACAUGUGUUGCUUCCAAGUAGGACCCAUUUGCAAGUAAGAAAGUAAUAAUGAAUUUUCUACUCUUUGUUCUCUGCUGAACUUUCUUUUCUCUUGCCAUUUUGUAUGGUAGUCUUUCAUAGAAUUUUGUGAUAUCUACCUGACUCCACAAGGUCAUGCAACAUUAAGAAUUGCUGGGUUUGAAAAAUGCAGGAUGGAAUUUAUUGUUAAUUAAUUAUCUCUAUCUGAAGCAAGACAUUUUUAGUACACUGUUGAAUAGAGUUGAUGUAUUAGCAUGAGUAACAUUGCGGCAUUCUAAGGGUUGGUGCUAGAACCCCACCUAGAAACCACUGUUUUUCCAGCAACUAUGUGGUUCAUAUGUUGAUGGGAGGAGAACCAGGAGGUAGUGCAAUAUCCUUAUUAGUUAUACUCAGGGAUGCAAAAUCUUCAUCUGAUGAUUCCACCCCUUUACAUGACACUAGCUACCGCACAGUAGAAAGUGUCUCGCCGAUUCUCUUUACGACACCAAAUGACCGAUUAAUGACUGCACUCAUAGAGAACAUAACAAGGUAUUUUAGGAAGUGCUUGGACCAGGUUCAAAUUUUUGACAGUCUUAGGCACAUUUUUUACAGUGUUGGUUUCAAGUUUUUUUCUGACAUAGUUAAGACUUUCUAAAAUGCAGUCUUGAACUACACGUGCUCUGUACAAAGCUUGUUUAGUUCUCUAAAAUCUGCACAUGUUAGAUACAGUUUGAGAGAACAUGUGCAGAUUUGUGAGAACUAAAAAAACUUUGUCCAGAACAUGUCCAUUGAUAGUAAGAUUGUUUGUGAUAAUGAAAGGAGACAAUGCGUUUGAUAUAGCUUGUCAUGAGAUAAUGAAACAAUAGUGUUUAUUUGGUCACCUGCAAGAUGAUGAUGUGAAACGAACGGCUAUUUGCGCCUUUCAGAGUUUCUACCAUUUAAUAGUUUCCCAUAACAAAAUAUUUGCUAAUAGUUAGACGACCUUGUGAUUUUUGUUCCUAUGGGUAAACAGAUAUAAGGUUAAUCGUGUAAGCAUAGCUUGAGCAAAAGCACAUGAGUUAGCUUCUGGAUUGGUAGCUAAAAAUGAGAUACUUAUGGUUGUUGAUGCCUUCCUUUUUUGUAGUAACAUCCAUGUGUCCAGCAUAUGUAGAACAUUAGAUUUUUCUUGGCUGAUUGUUGUAGUUCGUUCUCAAGGUUUGGAAAUCUUUAGCUAUAUUCCUUGUCUCAUGCAAGCAGGAGCAAUAUCUUCUUUAUGCUGUGUGCCGCCAAGUUUCUCUAUUUUAGAUGGUUGUGUCUUUUCGCUUCUAAAAAGGGAUAUGUAUUUUAUUAAUCUGACUAUAGUUUGUGGUAGGUACAUGCUGAAAGAUGUUCUGAGGCUAGCACCUGUUUAGAAGUUUUGCAAUUCACAACAAUACCUCAUAAUUGUGAUUUGAUGUCCAGAAUGUUAAUUGAAGAAUGAGUCUAUAAACUGAACUGCAUUGUAUUUUGUAAUAUAUCCUUAUAUAUGGUGCUUGUGGCGUUUUUUUCGUAAUUAUAAGUUUUUAGAACAAUUCGCCUUCAAUCACUUGCGACCUAGACCAUCUUUUUCUGGACUAAUUGAUUCUAGUUUAUUUAUAUUUGUAAAAACCUCAUUGAUUCAGGUUUCUUUAUAUUUGUUCAGGUUUCGGUCAACGGAAACAGGACUGUUGUAUGCACUUCUUUUACGAAGAUGUACUUGGUGUUGCUUGGUAGGGAGAAAUGAAGUGUGUGCCUCAUUCUGAAUUCUAUCGAGAAGCAACUAUUUUAGUUAUAUGUUAAUUUCUAGGGCACACGAGGUCAGCUUAAAUAUGGAAGUCUGCUGAUAGUGUUCCCACGCUUAUGCUUCAUCCAGGGGAGUGUGCUGACAGUGGAUGAUUUUUUUUUUUUUGUAUAAUUGGUUUGGACAUCAUAAGUACAUACUACUCCCUUCUUCCCAAAAUUCUUGUCUUAGAUUCGUCUAGAUUGGGAUGUAUCUAAUACUAAAAGGCGACUCGAUAUCUAAGACAUGUAUUUUUGGACGGAGGGAGUAUUUCAGUACAAUUUAGGCUAUGGCAGUGUGUUGGAUCCCUAUGCUUCAUUUAGUAUACGCCCUCCCUCCUCGCCUUUUGUCUAGCUUCUCAAUCAAUACCUGGGUAAUUAUGGGGGAAUGUAGCCUCUUCUCUGGUCAAACUAUCGGUCCUUGUUGCGUGUAUCCUUCUUAAUCACCACCUGGGUAAUCAAUUAAUUAGUACAUGAUCAUACAUGUUGAUCUCCUAUAUUCUCAGUGCCUGGGAAGUGAUGCAUGCAUGCAUGCAUGCUCUCAAGUUUAGAUAAGCUAAAACCCCUAUUAUAUUCAGAUAUUUUGUUAUCCUGUGGUGUACACACAAUUUUAGCAUUACCUAACCAGCAUACAACAUCAGUUACUAUCACCGUCAUAUAUCUCACAACAAAUUGAAAGAUGCAUAGACACAUGUAGAAUCAUACACUGCACUUGCUUACAAUGUCUUCCUCUGUUGUCGGCAAACUCAAAACCCCUGUCAAUUUUUCUGUUUUCUCAUAAACGUCACUUGCUUACAAUGUCUUCCUAUUUGUUCUCAGUCCGCCAUGAUGAAAAAUGUUAGGAUCCCAACAAAAGUGCUUCUCGAUGCUAUGAUGCAACAACUUGGCCUACCAAAUGUAGUGUAGUCAACUCAACACAAAAGGCAACGGCCAUUGGUCUUGACGCAACGAUUCAGUUCUAUCCAUCAGUUCUAUCCAUCUAAGGAGCAAUUACGCAAUGGUCUUCCAAAGUACUCCCUCCGCUUCUAAAUUUUUGUCUUAAAU